GAGCAUUCCCUUCGGGGACAAAGAGACAGGUGGUGCAUGGUUGUCGUCAGCUCGUGUCGUGAGAUGUUGGGUUAAGUCCCGCAACGAGCGCAACCCUUAUUACUAGUUGCCAGCAUUGAGUUGGGCACUCUAGUGAGACUGCAGGUGACAAACCGGAGGAAGGUGGGGAUGACGUCAAAUCAUCAUGCCCCUUAUGACUUGGGCUACACACGUGCUACAAUGGAUGGUACAACGAGCAGCGAACUCGCGAGGGUAAGCGAAUCUCUUAGAGCCAUUCUCAGUUCGGAUUGUAGGCUGCAACUCGCCUACAUGAAGCCGGAAUCGCUAGUAAUCGCGUAUCAGCACGCCGCGGUGAAUACGUUCCCGGGUCUUGUACACACCGCCCGUCACACCACGAGAGUUUGUAACACCCAAAGUCGG
rnacentral:rRNA from 1 species